rnacentral:rRNA from 1 species
AAAUUGAAGAGUUUGAUCAUGGCUCAGAUUGAACGCUGGCGGCAGGCCUAACACAUGCAAGUCGAACGGUAACAGGAAGCAGCUUGCUGUUUUGCUGACGAGUGGCGGACGGGUGAGUAAUGUCUGGGAAACUGCCUGAUGGAGGGGGAUAACUACUGGAAACGGUGGCUAAUACCGCAUAACGUCGCAAGACCAAAGAGGGGGACCUUCGGGCCUCUUGCCAUCAGAUGUGCCCAGAUGGGAUUAGCUUGUUGGUGAGGUAACGGCUCACCAAGGCGACGAUCCCUAGCUGGUCUGAGAGGAUGACCAGCCACACUGGAACUGAGACACGGUCCAGACUCCUACGGGAGGCAGCAGUGGGGAAUAUUGCACAAUGGGCGCAAGCCUGAUGCAGCCAUGCCGCGUGUAUGAAGAAGGCCUUCGGGUUGUAAAGUACUUUCAGCGGGGAGG